CUCCCUGACUGUUCCACCUGCCUGCAGUCUGAUUGCAGCAAUGAGAAUCAGCUGCCGUAAUUGGCUCACACCAGUCACCUGUUUGCAAUUCCACCUCCCAGCAUAUAAGCCGGCUCUGUCAUUCACUCCCUGCUCCACCACGGACGCGCACAUCCUGCGUCGACUCGUGACCACCAGAGCUUCUUGGACACGACGCUGCCCUCGUACCCCUGCCGGUUCCCGUUUGGGUUUCCUACCUACCCCUUCAGCUGAGUUUCUUCCCGUGACCAUCUGCUACAAAGCAUUACCGGGUAACAAAUACACCUGAUGAAGAUCAGAAAUAUUCAAGCAGAAACCUUCAGCUUCCACGAAGGUGGAAAUCAUUCUGCCAUGAAGACCUAACAACCUUCAAAGACAAUUUGAAAAUGGUUGCCUGCUAAUCUUGAUUUGGAAGUAGAGGCUCGAGGAAAUGGACAAGGAAUACUAGAGUACAGGGAAAGACGACCACGGGUUGUGACCUAUUACAAUCAGCUGCAUGAGGUGGAAGAGAAAAUGCCCUGCAAGCACUUUGAUCUCAACGUCACUUUUGAAGGAUCCAGCGGUAGAUCAAAUUCUCACACUAUAUCACAUAUUUUACACGACGUCCUUCAGACGGGUGACAAAUUAAAGCAAAUGCACUUUAACAAAAAAAAAAACAAAAAAAAAAAAACAAAGCAUUUUGACUGCUGACCUGAGUAAAUUUAGUAAAUUGAAUUUAUAAAACACUCGCGUACAAUCUCUUAAAAUACAUACGUUUUGCAUACAUCACAAUGCAAGGACUGUGUGUGCUCAUCUUCAGGGACUUUUUGUUCGUAUUAUUUUUGUUAAGAUCAAAUGAAUACAUUAUUGUUAAGAUCAAAAUAACACAUUGGAGCAUAAUUACAUCAAAUACACUAUUACAUACGCUCUA